GAGUUUGAUCAUGGCUCAGAUUGAACGCUGGCGGAAUGCUUUACACAUGCAAGUCGAACGGCAGCAUAGAGAGCUUGCUCUCUGAUGGCGAGUGGCGAACGGGUGAGUAAUAUAUCGGAACGUGCCUAGUAAUGGGGAACAACUAAUCGAAAGGUUAGCUAAUACCGCAUACGACCUACGGGUGAAAGCAGGGGAUCUUCGGACCUUGCGUUACUAGAGCGGCCGAUAUCUGAUUAGGUAGUUGGCAGGGUAAAGGCCUACCAAGCCGACGAUCAGUAGCUGGUCUGAGAGGACGAUCAGCCACACUGGAACUGAGACACGGUCCAGACUCCUACGGGAGGCAGCAGUGGGGAAUUUUGGACAAUGGGGGCAACCCUGAUCCAGCCAUUCCGCGUGAGUGAAGAAGGCCUUCGGGUUGUAAAGCUCUUUCGCAAGAGAAGAAAUCUUACUAUCAAAUAAAUAGUAAGGAUGACGGUAUCUUGACAAGAAGCACCGGCUAACUAUGUGCCAGCAGCCGCGGUAAUACAUAGGGUGCGAGCGUUAAUCGGAAUUACUGGGCGUAAAGGGUGCGCAGGCGGUUUUGUAAGUCAGAUGUGAAAUCCCCGAGCUCAACUUGGGAACUGCGUUUGAAACUACAAGACUAGAGUGUGUCAGAGGGGGGUAGAAUUCCACGUGUAGCAGUGAAAUGCGUAGAUAUGUGGAGGAAUACCAAUGGCGAAGGCAGCCCCCUGGGAUAACACUGACGCUCAUGCACGAAAGCGUGGGGAGCAAACAGGAUUAGAUACCCUGGUAGUCCACGCCCCUAACGAUGUCUACUAGUUGUUGGUGGAGUAAAUCCAUGAGUAACGCAGCUAACGCGUGAAGUAGACGCCUGGGGAGUACGGUCGCAAGGUUAAAACUCAAAUGAAUUGACGGGGGCCCGCACAAGCGGUGGAGCAUGUGGUUUAAUUCGAUGCAACGCGAAGAACCUUACCAGGCCUUGACAUCCUCGGAACUUUCCAGAAAUGGAUUGGUGCCUUCGGGAACCGAUGGACAGGUGCUGCAUGGCUGUCGUCAGCUCGUGUCGAGAGAUGUUGGGUUAAGUCCCGUAACGAGCGCAACCCUUGUCCUUAGUUGCCAGCACGUAAUGGUGGGAACUCUAAGGAGACUGCCGGUGACAAACCGGAGGAAGGUGGGGACGACGUCAAGUCCUCACGGCCCUUAUGGGCUGGGCUACACACGUGCUACAAUGGCGGUGACAAAGGGACGCAAUAGGGCAACCUGGAGCAAAUCCCUAAAAACCGUCUCAGUUCGGAUUGUUCUCUGCAACUCGAGAGCAUGAAGUUGGAAUCGCUAGUAAUCGUAGAUCAGCAUGCUACGGUGAAUACGUUCCCGGGCCUUGUACACACCGCCCGUCACACCAUGGGAGUUGGUUUUACCCGAAGACGGUAUCCUAACCUUUUAGGAGGGAGCCGGCCACGGUAGGGUCAGCGACUGGGGUGAAGUCGUAACGAGGUAACC
rnacentral:rRNA from 1 species